rnacentral:lncRNA from 1 species
UUGUUUCCUGGUAUUUGUUGCCCCCAUCAGAUUGGGAGUCUCCCUAGUGGGCCUAGCUUUCUCUUUUGAGAUGUAGUAUCGGAUGUUUGUCCAUUUUGAUCCCUGGACCUGGUUGUGUUAGAUAUGUCUGUUUGUCAGUAUUCAUCAUACAUAGACCACACAUAUACAUGCAUAUUCUCAACAUUCAGAUAUUCAUGCUGCAUUCUUUUCCAUAUAUCUUUGUUUUU